CAUUACAUUUCCGUCAAAAUGGCAGCCAUGGACAUGCCGUCUGUGAGGCUGCAAUGUGAUUUUAGUAAUUUUGAGUAUAGCAAAGCCAUCGAAUGUGGUGUAAAUCCCUCUUAUCUGCGCGAACUAAAUACAGUGCAACUUAAUCGAUGCACAAAAGACAUACGGAGCCAUUUGCAGAAGUGGAAAGUCGCUGCAUAUGAUGUGAAUGUCGAGUGGAAACUGAUCCUCCUGCGAUGUGGUUUGUUCGACGUCGAUGCAUACACUGAUAAGACAAUACGUCCAGCGCAUAGAUACAAGUUAGGGUUGAGUUGGACAUCAUCAAGGAAAUGGUGUCAUCCACUCCAUAAAGGGAAAGGCAAACCAUUCCGUGGUGUGAAUAAAGUAACUAGCCGUGAGAUCAUAGAUGUUUGAUCGAUGGGGUACCCUGAUCACUGUUGGAACAGGUAUCUGUAGAGGUUGUCUAUCUUAGCACAAACAAGCAGUUACGCACCAGACAGCGGAACAAUUACCAUCUAGUGAUGUGCUCUCUAAGGAACAAGAAGAGCAUCAGUGUACAAUCAGUGAUUUCACAUCGCCGGCUUGUGUACCAUCUCUCCAACCCACCGACACAGCGUGCACUUUAGUUCAUGAGCAUACAUCUGAGUCCUCAUCAACUGAUGGAGAUAUUACACAGGAUGUAGG